UAGGCUGAGCUGAGGUGGGGGAGGUGUGGUUUGAGUUCGUUCCGCGGCGCGCGGCCCAGUUCUCAGACUAAGAGGCAGAGGAAAGCAUUUCUCUGUAUGGCUUUUAGGGGUACUUUUCAACAGUUCCUUUAUUGAAAAAGAAAAAAAAAAAAAAAAAAAAAAUCUACCGCUGUUGAAGGAGAACGCUGGGUCUGUUUCCAAGACAGAUGGAGUCAGUAACGAGUAACAGUGACCCUGAAGACUGAGGAAACAAAUGCUAUCAGUUCAAAAAGCUUACUGUAUUUACAACGUUUUCCAGACUGCAGUGCAGGGAGAGAACACUUAAGCAGAGCCCAGCGAAUUGCCUGCUUUGACAGGAAGGAGCUGCAAGUUUGGGGGAGACCAGGGAGAAGACACAAACUGGAUGCUUACUCCUGAUCAUGUCAACAAUUAUGGUGACCACAAAAGGACCCGGAAUAGACUUCCUUCCUUUGACUGGACUCCAUGAGGAACUGGAGCUUUGGUACCAGCAGUGGCUCCUUGCACCCAUCUUCCUUCUGGGGGAGUGCAGACGAAUUUGGAUCAGAUGCCUCAUACACAGCCAAAACUGGAAGAAGACAUAAUUUAAUGAACUGUCUCCAAGCUGCGUGGAAGGACCUUUCUAUCAGGUACUCUUAACUAGCUCAUGCCUAGUAAAAUUGAAGGUAAAUUGACUCUUGGAUUAACUCACACUUCCAAAGGCCCCUAAGCAGGACUGGUUUAUAGAGAGGCCUACUGACCUAAAACUCACCUUAAAACAAUGCUCAAACACAGGAAACUACACCAGGAUGAGAAGAAGAUGACAAAUAUAUGGCAAAACCAAUACAAUAUUGUAAAUUUAAAAAUAAAAUUAAAUUAAAAAAAAAAAAAAAGAAGAAGAAGACAUCUUGCCCAAGAUGCUUAUUUGACUUGUAUGAUCAUUUAUGUUCUUGAUUCCAUGGACCUAUGCCUAUCAAUCAAAUGUUUUCUAUCAUGGACACAAUUCUAUGCUAGUUUAAAACUCAAUCCAAUUGUUUAGUUGCGGCCAAUUACCUGUGUCUAGAACUUUUGGGUUACCUUGGUGGAUUUCUGUUCUCUAGGGCUCUGAUUGGAUACCCCCUAGGAAAUUUAUUUUAGAAGAGUGUUCACUCCUGUUCUAUCUUCAUGAUAUUACUAGAUGGGAUCCUCUCACCUGGCCAAUUAAUAAUACCUGCUCUGAUGCUGGCCAGAGAUUUAAGUUUUAUCUUAGGGUCAUUCAAAUUCACUUGGAGUGAUGAGCUACGUCUCAAUUAAAAAAAAAAAAAAAUUAAAAGGAAAAAUCUAUUAAACGGAAAAAUUCCACAAUUAUUGGGUGGAUCUACAUGGUUGACACCAGGCUAUGGGCAUUUAAAUUUAAAAGCUUCUUUAUGUUGGGAAGGGUUCAGUUCAGUUCAGUCGCUCAGUCAUGUCCAACUCUUAGCGACCCCAUGGAUUGCAGUCCAACAGGCUCCUCUGUCCAUGUGAUGU